UGAACACACUAGUCUGAAAAGCCUCUAACUGAAUGAACUAUCUGAAUAAGGAGUUGAUGGGAAAUGGUCCCCAAAUAACUCUAACUAAUAAAUUAAUUAAUGAGAUAAUAAAGACAUAAUCAUGUCCUCGAAGAAUGAGGACUCACUGCUAACUAACUGCUGAUAUAUGGAAUCUACUGAUGCUCUGGAGCUCGUGCUUUGAAACCUAUGGCAUAAAACACCAUAGCAUAAAUACGUCAGUGCUUUGAAUAUAUUGGUAUGCAUGUGAGGUAGGCUAAAUGCAUGGGGUUCAUAUGCAUGAACGAUACUGGCUAACUGACUAAUAUGAACGUGAGAAUACCUGCAUGAACACAUAGUAAUUAUAAUUGAGAUCAUGAUAACAUGAGUUUACUGAUAACUAACAUAACUGAUAACUGAGUUUUGAUGACUGAUAUAACUGAUAACAUGAGUGACUGUAUCUGACAGUCCUAAAUCUGAUGAAACUAGCUGCAUUUUGUAUUGUUCUGAGUUGGCUGUAUCUGAUAGUCCUAAAUUCUGUAGAACUAUCUAAGUUCUAAUACUGAGACUGAAUGACUGUAUUUGAUAGUCCUAAAUUCUGUAACUUAAAUUAUGGUAAGUAGUUAUCUAACCGACAUGCCCCUAAUACACCAUUAUGGCUGAGUUGGGGUUCAAUCAGUAACCUUAAUUGGAAGGGUGUCAAUACUGUGCCACUGGUAAGGACAAUCUAGACAAUUUAUGAGUAACCCUCAUAUAACAGGUAACUCUAGUGAGAACAGUGAGAACCCUCAUAUAACAGGUUAAGCCACCUCAUUUACCCUCAUAUAGCAAGCUAUGAUGUCUCAACCUACGCUGGCUACAUAGUUCUAGAACGCAAGGAUUGCUUCUAAGAAUCACACCUUUAUAUAACAGGUGAUUUCCCAUCCUUGGGUUCACUCGGUGCUAAUUUCUACUCCCAUCUUAAUAGACACUGAUGAUGGAUUACUGGACUGAACUGGAUUGAAUUAACUGAAUUUCGUUGAAUGAUGAAAUAGUACUGAGAUUAUUGAAUUACUGAGAUUUCCUGAGUCACAUGACUGACUGAGUUCAAUAGAUCAUGGCUUGACUGAGGAUAUCAUGAAACAUGUCACUGACUCUAGGAACACAACUAUAUUUUUCGGGUACAAGUACCCCCAGGACUCGAUGGAAGAAAACUGACAAGGCAUGACAUUCUUGAAUGCAUGACCAAUCAUAAACAAUCCAUAAUACAAUAAUUGGAAAUAUUUCAUGGGCAUUUGAUUACCAUAGCUUUGUAAGUGAAUAAGAUAUCAUAUAUACAUAGAAUAAUUUCAUAAGGUCAACUCAUGAGCAAUCCAACAAACAAAUUCCAAUACAUAAGAACAACAUGGAAGUCAUUUUGUAUCAUAAUUUAGCUAUAGUGCAAAAUUUCUAUCUUCCUAGGCAUUUUAUCAAACACCUUGCAUGCACCCUUAGGGCAUAGGCCUAAUCAUCAAAUUGACACAUUAUAAAUAACUCAUUUAAUGGAUUUCACUCACUUGCUAAUGUAGUUUCAUGAAAACACAUAAAUAUUCCAACUUGGGAAUAAUAUAACAAGAUAAACAUGGUUACAAUUGACCCACAACAUAAAUAUCAUGAUUUGUAAUUUAAAAUAAGGUUCUUGAGCUUUAUGGAUGAAAGGAAUCCAUAAAUCAACACAACGGAUACCUUAGUUCUUAGUUUUGUGAAGAUUGACGGAGAGACUUUCUUGAAAUUAAAUUCCUAAUUGAAACCCUAGCUUGUUCUUGAGAGAAAAUUGAGAUAAACUAGUUUAUUUUGGGUUUUAAAUAGCUGAACCUCGUGUUAAAGGGCUUAAAUAGGGGUGGAAAAUUGACCCAUAUAACUCUAGAUGCGUCUUUUAGAUUUGUGAAAAUUUCUCGAACUGGACCCCUAGCGAGACACGGCGCUAUCGCGCUGUGUUACUGGAAUUUCACAAUUGGGAAAUAGAGGAAUGGUGCAACGCGGAGCCAUCACAUUGCCACUUUAUUUUCGACCUUGAAGUUUUACGGAACGUGGGAAAAAUUGCACUGAGACACUGGAGAAAGGACAAUUUCCAUUUUAGCUUGUGGCGCGGUGCGCCACUGACCAAUAUACUGCUGUUUUAUGACAAUAAACUGAAAUAGUCAGAACUUUUUACCCAUUUAUCAAAUUAGAGCGAAUCUUAUAUUGAUGGAAAUCUUAUUGAAUUUCCCACAUGGGGAAAAUCUAAAAACAUAAACAUCAUUCAAUUUAGAAGAUAAUACUAGACUUUCUUGGGACGAAAUUAGUUAGAAAACUUUGGGGUAUUAUAAUAUCUCCCCUUUGGGAAUAUUCAUCCUUGAAUGAGACUAACUGAGAUGGGAGAAAUGAUAGGCUGAAGUACAUACUAACCAUAAAAAAAUGAAGCAUGACUGACAUGUCUGAGAUUUAUACUGAGCAUGCAUAUCUGAUGCAUGAUUUCAUGACUUCACUCACUCAUGAACACAGGACUGAGAUUUUUGAUAACUGAGUUUCUUACUAGGAGAAUGUAUGUCUGAUGCAUGAACACAUGACUAAUAUAAUGCAUGAACAUAUGAAUAGAUAUGCAAUGGUACUUAGUAUUAAGUUUUAAAAAUAGAAUCCUAAACAUGAGACUGAUACCAAGUUGUAACUGAAAUAUUGACAUGAAAACUGAAAAGCUUAAGGAGAACUGUUACCUUGAGCUUGAUCUAAGUUAGAGAGGAAAAGGUGAGGAUACUUGGUUUGCAUAUCUGCUUCUACUUCCUAAGUAGCUCCCUCAACGGACUGAUUCAUCCAAAGAACUUUGACUAGAGAGACUUCUUUGUUCCUUAGUCUACAAGUUGAUAGUCUAGAAUUUCGACUGGAAUAUCCUCAUAAAAGAGUCUGUUUUGAACAUCUAUGCUUUGAAUAGGGACUACAAUUGCUGGGUCACCUAUGCACUUCUAGAGUAAAGAGACAUGGAAUACUGGAUGAACUGAGGCUAGAUCUGAAGGCAAUUCGAGCUCAUAAGCUACCUUGCCAAAACGACUGAGAAUUUUGAAGGGAUUGACAUAUCAGGGACUGAGUUUUCCCUUCUUGCCGAACCUCUUCACUCCUUUUAUGGGAGAGAUCUUUCGAUAGACAUAGUCACUAAUCUUAAACUCGAGAUCUUUUCUACACACAUCUGCAUAAGAAUUCCAUUGGCUCUAAGCAGCUCGGAGUCUUUCUCUGAUUAACUAGAAUUUUUCUAAAGUAUCCAAUACUAAGUCAGGUCCUAUGACUGAGGCCUCACUAACUUUGAACCAACUGACUGAAAUCUGCAUCUCCUACCAUAUAGAGCUUCGAACAGAGCCAUCUUAAUACUGGAGUGAUAGCUGUUGUUGUAUGCCAACUCAAUCAAAGUCAAGUGGUCAUCCCAACUACCCUUUAGAUCAAUUACACGCGCUCGCAGCAUAUCUUCUUGAGUCUAAAUAGUCCUUUCUGCUUUACUAUCUGGCUGAGGAUUGAAGGCUGUACUGAGAUGAACUUGGGUAUCAAAACCCUUUGGGAACACUUUCCAGAAAUAAGAGGUGAAUUGGGUACCUCUAUCUAAGACAAUAGACAAUGAAACACCAUGCAAUCUGACCAAUUCUCUGAUGUAGAGUUUGGCGUAAUCCUCGGCUGAAUAAGAGGUAUGAACUGGAACAAAAUGAGCUAAUUUGGUCAUUCAUUCUAUAACCCAAACUAAAUUAUCCUGGCGACGAGUAUGAGGCACACCCAUCAUGGGCUAGGCCCAAAUCUUUGACUGAGGUUCGUUGUUUCAUUAGUUUGGAUGGUUAUUAAAGAUGAUUUGUCGAGAAAUUUUCUACCAUAUCAAACCUUAUGACUAGAUUAACUCAAAAGGAAGUUUUUUUUCUAAUGGUCCGAGGAGUGUGAGUUGAGCUUAGGAAAGCUCAAAGAUUGUCUCACUUUACCCCCGAUGUUAGUCUUCCAGUUUAGGCAGAGGGAUUCACAGUGUUUUGUGAAGUAUCUAGGGUUGGUCUUGGAUGUGUUUUGAUGCAAUAGGGUCGUGUCAUUACCUAUGCUUCUAGAAAUCUUAAGGUUCAUGAGCGAAACUAACCCACUCAUGAUUUACAAUUGGACAUUGGUAGAUUUUGCGCUCAAGAUUUGAAGGCAUUACUUGUAUGGUAUGAAUUGUGAGAUUUUCAUUGAUCAUCGUAGUCUUCAAUAUCUUAUGACCUAGCAAGAUCUUAAUGCUUGCUAGCGCAGAUGGAUGGAGUUGCUAAAGGACUACGAUAUUUCUAUCUUGUGUUAUCCAGGUAAGGCGAAUAUGGUGGAUGAUGCAUUGAGUCAAAAGGUAGUGAGUAUGUGUAGUUUGACAUGUAUAUCAGUUUCUCAUAGGCCCUUGGCACGAAACAUCCAGUCCUUAGCCAAUUUGAUUGUUUUACUUGAUAUUUUGGAUCCUGCGAGGAUUUUGGCUUGUGCGGAGGUGAGGUCUUCCUUAUUUGAGAAGAUUCAUGAUCGUCAGUUUGAGGAUAGUAAGCCUUCUUCAUGAAUGGGUGAUGAGUGGUGAGUCUAGGAGACACAUCAUAGAUUCUGAGGGUUUUUUUAGGUUUUAGGGUCGUAUUUAUGUUCCUUGACUUGAUGACUUAAUUCAGUUGAUACUGUAUGAGGAUCAUAGCUCAAGAUAUUUUAUUCAUCCCGAUAUAGCCAAGAUGUAUAAAGAGUUAAGACAGCUUUAUUAGUGGAUCAGUGUGAAGAGAAAUAUGGAAGACUUCAUAGCUUAUUGCCUAUGCUGUCAGUAGGUUAAGGCCGAGCAUCAGCAUCCAGACGGUUUGACUCAGAGGUUACCUAUUCCUAAGUAGAAAUGGGAAAGGAUUACCAUGGACUUCAUUAGUGGUUUGCCCCAUACUUCCCAUUGUCACAAUGGUAUUUGGGUUAUUGUGGAUUAUUUGACCAAGUCAGCAUAUUUCCUUCCUAUUCAAAUAACCUUUAGUGCUGAGAGAUUGUCCUAAAUUUAUGUUUGAGAGAUAGUUCAUUUGUAUGUGUUCCUUGUAUCUCUUAUAUCAGAUCAUGGUUCUGUAUAUACUUUGCUAUUUUAGAGAUAAUUUUAGAAGGAGUUGGGUACUCGAGUGGAUUUGAGUACAAUCUUUCAUUCACAGAUGGGUGGUCAGUCUGAGCAGACUAUUAAGGUGCUUGAGGAUAUGCUCCAAGCUUAUGUUAUGGACUUUGGAGGAUAGUGGGACCAAUAAUUAGGAUUGGCAAAAUUUGCCUACAACAACAGUUACCAUUUAAGCAUUGAGAUGGUGCCUUAUGAGGCUUUGUACGAUAGGAGAUAUCGUUCCCCUAUAGGAUAGUUUGAGACAUCCGAGGUUAAACCCCUUGGUAUAGAUUUGCUUUAGGAAUCAUUGGAUAAAGUCAGGGUGAUUCAGGAUAAGCUGAGAGCAGCCCAUAGUAGGCAGAAAGCCUAUGCCGACCGUAGACUCUGUGCCUUGAGAUUUGGAGUUUGUGAUCAUAUAUUCCUUUGUUUUUCCCUUAUAAGAGGUGUGAUGAUAUUUAGGGGGAAGGGUAAGCUUAGCCAUCGCUAUAUUGGUCCUUUUGAGAUCCUUCGUGAAGUGGCCAAAGUUGCCUAUGAGUUAGCUUUGCCUUCAGACUUUGCCGUUGUUUAUCUAAUUUUUCAUGUCUCUAUAUUGUAGAAGUAUAUUCUAGAUCCUUCUUAUGUGCUUAGAUAGGACUCGGUCCAGUUGGACGACCAGAUGACCUUUAUGGAGGAGCCCAUGCUUAUUUUGGCUAGUGAUGUGAGGUGACUACAUUCUAGAGAGAUUUUGGUAGUCAAGGUUCAGUGGAGGCAUCACCAUUAGAGGAGGCUACUUGGGAGGUCGAGAGAGAGAUAUGGGCCCAGUAUUCUAAUUUGUUCAAGACUUUAAUAAUCUUCUUUGUCUUUAACUUUCGGGGACAAAAGUUCCUUAGUAGUGGAUGUUGUAAUGACCCUUCAGGUCAUUGUCCGCGUUCUUACUUAUUUUUCUCUAUAGAGCUUCUCCAUAGCUGCCCCAAGUCAUUUGUAACUUGAUGGAACCGAUAGUUCGAUUACCUGGCGGUUUGUUUGGUAUUUAGAAACACUUUCUCCAUUUGAAGUCUUUAUGGGUCUAAUUCACCACUGAGCAAAACCUUUAGUGAAAUGACCCUAAAUGCAAAAUUUAAUUUCAUCAAUACAUCCGAACCAUCAAAAUCUAUGUGGUUACAUAUCUUAUUUGCUUGAAAUAGACUUCGGAUACAUCUCUAGGCAUUGGUCGAUGCCUAAAACCAAGUUCUAAACUUCAAUCGUGCUUUCUAUAGGGAGAGAUACUGUGACCGCAGCGUGAGGGGUACAAAUAUGGUGCCAUGACCAAGCAGGGUCUGCGACCACACUACCUGAGGCUUAGGCAAAGCCUAUUUAAGGGUUGUCUUGCCCAAAAUUUUGGCCAUUUUUUGCCUCCCACUUUAGCUCUAAACCCUGAUAGGGUGUAAAAUAUUCAAGUGAACCUUGUGGAUUGAGUAAGAGCUUGAAUAACUUAUGUAAUACGUUUUUGCUACAUAUCUAAGGUAAGAUUCCUUCUAGUUUGGUUUUAAUUUCUUGAUUUCUAGACCCAAAACCCCUAACUCUUCGAGGCUAAAGUGUUGCCACAAAUGUGAUUAAUUUAUCCAAAUUUCUUGAGGGUUAUCGCUCCCUAAUAAUAGUUGAGCAAUGGGUUGGUCUCGUAAACUCAUUUUUCGAAGAUAGUACCCAUUAGGGGGUUUGGUGUCAUUUUGUACCAAUGGCAUGAUGGUGCCAUAAUGGGUGUUUUUAAUCUUGCAAUAAUGCUUAGAUUAUGCUGUGAUAGCUUGGAUCGUGGAAGAAGAAGCUUCAAAUAAAGGAAAGGCAAAGCUUGUUGGUUCGUGAGCAAUUGGACUCAAGUUUGGUUGGGCUUACUUGUAGUUAGAUUGAGCUUAAUUGUAGUAUAUUUAUGAUAUCUUUUAAGAUUGGAUGGGGUCUUAGAUGAUAAAUAGGUGUAUGAUAAUACUUAGGAUUAGUUGAUCCUCGCAGGCUCUUAAACUUCUAAAAUGUGAUGUUGAUUAUCGCCUAGAACCUUGGAUAGUUGUACUUGUAGUCUCAUGAAUAGAAUGAGAAUACUUUAGUUGAUCCAGUAGAGGAGAAUGAUGUUUUUGACUAAUCUUAAGAGUAUGUUGGCCUAUAUAUGAGUAGCUAUGAAUUGGCCUUAGUGUUUGGGGUGACUUAGAAAGGAUAUUUGAAGAGGAUUUUUCCCUCAUAGGCCUAGUAAGAAUUGAUAAGCCCUUAUGGUGUGAUUAGAUAACAUAGCCUAAUUUCGGGUAGAAGUUAGCCUUGUAGAAGUGAACUUUGCCAUUAUUGGGAUUUAGGAGUGGGACUUGACCUACCUUAAGCUUGAACUAUAUAAUUCCCUAGUGACCUAGAUACUUGAUGAACGUCUAAGUUACAUUAUUAAGGUUAUAAUGGUUGAACUCAGUUGUUGGAUAUGCAUGUGGUCAAUGGUUAGAUAAUGUGUAUACUUGAUUGAUUAUCUUGUUGUCAUGAUAUGGAUAGCCUUGGAAAGUCUUGUAAAUUGAACCUAUGGUUAUGCUAUCUCUUGGCUUAUUGAUAAGUUCACCUAGUGAACCUCUAAUUAUUUUAUCACCCUUGCUAUGACCCAAGCCUAAUGAUUAAGCUAAUGUUUAUGUGAUGGAUUUUCCUUUGGGGUUAGUUUUGUGAAAAGUGGGUGUAAAAGAGGCAUUUAGAGAGCAUGCACUUGACUUAUAACUGACUUGCUUAUGAACAUGUUAACUUGAAAAAUGGUGAUUGCGUAUGUCAUUUAGAUACUCAUUCUUAUGCAUCUACUUAUAUUAUAUAGUGAUGAUUAAUAGUAAAGUAUGAUGUAAUGAGUUACCUUACAUCACUUAUACUCUAUCAUUGUGGGUUGUACAUGCUUAUUUAUUUGACUACAUAUAUAUAUAUAUGUAUAUCAUUAUCUUGACAGAUGUGUUAUUGUGAUAAUGAUAAUCGGUGAAUUAGGAAGAUAUAUUGAUGUUAUGAUGAUACCCGAUGAAUCUGAAGAAUAUAUUGAUGUUAUGUUUAUGCCCAUGAAUUCGAAGGAUAUAUUGAUGUUAUGAUGAUGCCCGGUGAAUUCGGAGGAUAUACUAAUGUUAUGACGAUGCCCGGUGAAUCUGAAGGAUAUAUUGAUGCUAUGAUGAUGCCCGGUGAAUCUGGGGGAUAUGUUGAUAUUAUGAUGAUGCACGGUGAAUCCAGAAGAGGUAAUAAUGACGUGAUAACAUUAUAUGUGGUAAGUAUAUAUGUGAAUGCAUGGUUGUAUAUGAGAUUAUGCAGUGUUUGGCUAAAUCCAUUUGUGUACUUGGGACAUGAUGCCUUCCUUGGUAAAUUGUUAUCUAUUCUUUGUCAUUAAUUACUAGAUAAGAGGUGUGAUCUUUAUUAACUCUAAGUAGUAACUAGAAGUGGAUUAAGCUAAGUAUUGGAAAACUAAUUGAUAUGUGUAAUCUUGUGUAGAACCUAGGGCUUACCGAGUAAAUCUUAUUCACUUGGAUAAAUGGUUAUAAUAUGGAAUUUCGCUAGUGAAGUGGCUUAUGUGAUGGCUAGUUUUAUCUAAUAAAUGACUAAAACUUGUAGGCUAGACGCCUAGUGAGCUAGUUGGUGGACGAUAUUUAGCUAAAAUAUGGAAACUAGUCCUUAAGGUUGCAAUAUGUUCAAUGAUAAUAGACCUAGUAUUGUAUUACUAGUGGUUAAGUCAACAUCUAGUAUGUGAUGCCGUGGUGGCUUAAUUGAUGACUUAUAUAAUUAGGAGGCUAACUAGAAGAUGGCUUUGUGAUGGGCGAAUAAAUAAUAGUGUUAGUAACUUGUAGUUUUUCCUUAUUUGAUGACUAGUAAACUUGUAGACUUGCAAACUAGUGGAUCAUAGAAAUAGAGGCUAGCUAGUAUAGGCUAGACAUUAAGUUUAUUAUUGAAUUAGAGAUUAAAUAACUAUGUAACUAUGUUAUGGUGAUAUCAGUUUUGUUGUGUCAAAUUAUUGUGUUGAUGAUGAUUGUAGACCUCGGUAAGAGGCCAUAGUGGGAAUGUACAACCCGCAACCUUGGUGAGUUGUUUGUGUAGCUGUGCCUUGAUAUGUUGAUGAAUUGAUUUUUUGGUGUACUCUCUGGUGGUAUGGGACGUCGUGAUGAGUUCUUUAUUUGUCUUCCGUAUGUCUACUUCCUGGCGGUAUAGGACAUCGUGGUAAGUUCUUUUGCUAUAUAUUCUAAUGAUGGUAGUUGUGUUGAUUAUGGUAAUUACAUGAUUGUUAUUGUAUAUAUGCAGCUUUACGUUUCCAAAAUGAUUACUCAUGGUGUUUGAAAGUUAUGGUAUAUAUGAAUACAGAAUGUCAUACUAUUGUUCUAGUUGAUUAGUUAUCUUAUACAGUGAUAUUGGAAAAGAUUCAGAUUUGAUUUUGUACCUUGACUUUAAGUUAUUAUCUUACUCUAUAUCGUCCUUAUAUUAUAAUUUAGCUCAGUCGUCUGAUGAUGCCAAUUGAGUACCCGUGUUUUGGUACGCAUACUAUAUUUCUAUUCCUUUUUGGUGUAGACCCGAGUUCUAGUUGCCACUGUUGAGUCAAGAUCGUGCAAUGCUGAUUAUCAGGAUAUAGGGGUAAGCUCUUGGAGUUAGAGUUGCCCUUUUUCCCAUCUAGCGUUAUUCUGCGUUUUGUAUUCGAGACAAAUGUAUGAGACUAUGUAAGACUAUUUGUUGUUGAGUUUUAAUUUCUAUUGUCGAAUGUAGAGAUACUCUUAAACUAAUACUAUUAGGUCAUGAGAUUGGUAUUCGAAUGUUAUUUUUUUCUUUGUGGAAUAUCUUUGUUAUAUUGAGUUCCCAUAUAGGUUCCAUAUUGGAUUUUCCUAUCAAGGUAAUCCAUUGCAUUGGCUCUGGGUUAUGGUGUUGGCUUACCUACUGGUGGGUUAUGGUAGGUUCCAUCAUUACUCAAAAAUGGGUCAUGACAUGAACAAUCCGUUGGAUGAAAUCCUAUUAACUAUUCCAACAGCACAUGUCCAAGACUUUGAUUUCUCGCAACAGAUAAUUCAUCUGUUGCGACAGAUGAUGCUUCUGUUAGAAGAAAUUUAAAUAAUAUUGACAGUUGAUCUGUUACACAGACCAGUCACCUGUUUCAAUAGAUGAGUGAUCUGUUUUUAUUGUUUCAAACAUAUUACUUAUCUGUUGCAACAAGUUAGUUAUAUGUUACAACAGAUAACCUACCUGGUGCAACAGAUGUGUGAUCAGUUGGAAAUGCUAUUUUACUGUUGUACAUAUUAGAUUUAUUGUUAUCUUUUUUAGCGAUGCAUUAAUCAAUUAUAAUCUUUUUUUAUUUUCCUGUUAUUUUUAGAUAAUAUGGCUCCCAAAAGAAAAGAAACUGAAUCAAGUUCAAGUAAAAGAAAAAGUGAAGCAGCUAGGCUACAUCCACCACUUUAUGAGCUUGCUUUACAAGUGAUAUAUCAAUCAAAAGCAGAAGAUAAAGAACAUGGAGCAGAGAAAUAUUUCAAAAGAGAUGAUCCAAAAUCUAAUAGUCCUUCCAUUAAAGAGUUGGUCAAAACCUUCAGUAUUGAUAGUUAUCAUGUAAGAUGCAGUGCGAUAGUGCCAUAGAUUUAACUGGUGAUUUCAUGGUUAAGUCAGCCAUGGGAAAAUCUUUCGAUGACUUCCAAAAAUUACUUCAAGUAUAAAAAUUGGAUGCGUAUUUCAGGGAUAGUUGCUUUGGGCAAUAUUUUGAUUUGUCGGAGGACAACAAUGCUCGUUUCCAAAUGAAAAUGGUAUAUGAUCUUCUCUAGCAUAGGUUAAUGUAUGAAAAUAUAGAUAAGAUGGAUGAGGUGUGGAUAAAUUACUGUAGCAUACCUGUUUAUUUUGGUUGGAAGGAGUUUGCCAUAGUUACUAACUAAAAUAUUAUCCUCCUUCUAUUUCUCAAGUUAUACCUAUUCUAACCCAAAAAAAUACCCCCACACCCAAAAAAGGCAGAGACAAGUCAAUUGAUGGUGAUGACUUGGUGUCCCUUGUUGUUCCAAGCUUUAAAAAUAAAAAUUUGAUAGAAGUGUUGAAAGGUAAAAAAAUUUCAAAGAAGCACAAGCAGUCAUUGUGCUUGACUUGAUUUGUACAUAAUAUUCUUUGGGGGAGAGACGUUAACAACAAUGUACCGCUUGAUUUAAUAAAGUGCUCCGAGGAUCUUGAGGAAUUUAACACCUAUCCUUGGGGUUAUGAAAGCUUCACAAUGACGGUCAAAUAGUUGUUGACUCCGUUAACGCCAGAGACAAUCAACUUAUAUGGCUUUCCCUAGGAUUUCAUUGUAACUUUUUCUUUUAUAAUGAUUCAUUUAUAUUUUAUUGAAUAAUAUUUUUGAUUUAUUGGCGUUAUUUUAUAGUCUUAGGCAUUUGAAGACAUUCCUUAUUUGAGACAACAAGUGAACUACCGGGAAGAAGAUUCAUGUCCAAGAAUCUUGAGAUGGUUGUCGGCUAAAAGUGAUAAAAAUAACAAAUUUCUUGAUCUCUUAUUAAUGAUUUUAAUUAAGUUUUUAUUUUAAUUAAUGAUUUUUUUAAAUGAAUUAAUUAUCAUUCUAAUAUAUGUACUAAUUUAUUUUAGAUUGUGCAUAUGUGGCUUGUUUCGACCAAUUAAGAGUUGAAUAUGUCAUUUUUUCUUACUUUAUUGUCUAUGCAAACUUUAUCGGACUCUAAGGUCAUUGAUAAAAUAAAAAAGCAAUUGGUUGGAGUAGCAUCCAUCACAAGAAAAAUAAUUUUGGAGGGUGGGCUUGUUGUUGUUGAUAGUGUUAGUGGUGAUGGAGCUGUGGGUGGUGGUAGUAUGUGGUAGUGGUGCUGCUGUUGGGGCUUAUGAUGCUCCUCUUAUAAUUUUUGAAAUAACAAACCAUUAUGAUUAGGAUCAUACUGGUUAUACAAAUUUUGCCCCUCCUAGCAAAUGUUUUGCAUGCAAAUGUCAAGACUGCAAAGGAAAACAUGAUGGAGUGAUUAAUGUUAUUAACGCAUUAACUAUUUCUGCAAAGGAGUUGACAUCUAAGAGGGUUGUCAUUCAAUCAAAGAGGAUUUCAUAUCCAUAGACCCCAUUAGAGAUUAAGGCAGCUAAGAGGAGAAGGAGGAAAAUUUUCAAGGCAUCAUUACGCAUCAAAAAAAAGCAAAAUUACAACUCUUUUGUCUUUGUCUUGCACCUUUGAUCUAUAUACAAGGACCACAGAAGAGAAACAUGAGCUGAAGAAGCAGAAUAUAUAUCAUCUGUUCUAAUAAAUAAAUAGACACAUAUCUAUUUCAAUAGAUGGUACAUCUGCUGAAAAUUAUCAAACAUAUAUAUACAUUUGUUGCAAUAGUUGACUAACCUGUUGCAUCAGAUACAUUAUCUGUUGCAACAUAUGUCUCUUCUAUUUUAGCAAAUCAAACAGUUAUUUGUAAUGCUUUAAUUUGUACCAACAGAUGAGCUAUCUACUGCAACAGAUAGGUCAUCUGUUGGGACAAAUUAAAUCAAACUUCUUACUAUUUAUUUUUCCAAAAAGAUGAGUUAUAUAUUGCAACAGAUGAGUCAUCUGUUGAAAAUUAUCAUACAAGUUUUCCUCAUGUUUUAAUUUAUCCCAACAGAUGAUCCAUCUAUUGCAAUAGAUAGAUAAUCUGUUGGGAUAAUAUAAAAUAAGAAGAAGAUCUAUUUGAUUUGCUAAAAUAGAUGAGUUAUCAUUUUCUAUUUUUUUUGUAUCUCUGUGAUUAGCAUUGAUAACUUUGGCUUUCUAGGUGGAUGUCACAGUAGAAGCUAUUUCUGAAUAGCAUAAUAUCACAGUUCAUAAUCCAUCAAUUACUUCCAAAAAUAAAGAAAAUGUGAAGCAUGUCAGUCCGGAAAAAUGGAAUAGUUACCCGUUUAAAGGGUUCAACAUCUCAAACGAGGCUCCAAAAGAACUAACAAACUUAAAUUGUUGAGUAGAUCUUUAUAGCUUGAGUCUGUCAAAGUAAUAACCUCUCCUUAGGAAUUAUUGGCACCAAAACUUAAAUUAUUGAUUUAUUUGUUGAGUAGAUCAUCUGUACCCAUAAUAAUUUUUUUACAUUUCAUUUAUUUGUUGAUUUAUUUCAUGUAAUUUCUGAAGGCUUCAAUUUAUUUUAUUUUGUCUAUGAAUUUUAUUUUAUCCUUAGAUUUGAACUUAUUAAUUGAAAUAAAAUACUAGAUUCAAAUUUUACAGCAAAUAAUGCAUCUGUUGCAACAGACGCGAUAUCUGUUGGAAAGUAUCAAACCGAUUUUGACAUAUGUGGUAACAUGUAGGUCAUCUGUUGGAAAUUAUCAAGCAGGUGUUCCUACUAAUUUGAUUUGUUCUAAUAAAUGACUUAUCUGUUGCAAUAGAUAGACUAUAUAUUGCAAUAAAUAGUCUAUCUGUUGUAACAGAUAGACUUAGAUAUAAACAUCUAUAUAAUGCAACAGAUGAUCAACCUAUUGCAACAGAUAAUCAAUCUAUUAGAAUAGAUAGACUAUUUGUUACAACGUAUAGGCAAUCGGUUGCAUUAUAAAUAAUUCAACUUUCAUCAAACAUAAACAAUUGUCACUACAUGUAAAGUGACUUGAAAUAAAAAUUGUCAUGGUGGUGUUUGUGUUUCUACAUCUUCUUCGUUUAUAUUCACAGGAUCCAACCUUUAAUCAAUACCCCAUAAGCCCACACCUCUUGUAUCCUUGCCACAAUGUUGUCACACAGAAAGGUCAUUGGCUCGGCCAUUUCUAUACCGAUCAGUAAAUAUUCGAUGUAUUCAAGUGCAUAUGACCUGCAUGCGGCACUGAUUUCAUUUCUUAGAAGGUUUAUGUCCUUGUUUCGACCUUAAAAUCCCAUCUUUCAUUCAGCACUUUCACUGGAAAAUGAUCCAUUAGUUUACUCUGCCUCAACAAGUUGGGGAAUAAAUCAAAUAGUGGCUACAUAUGGGUAAAAUAAUCAUCCUCGUCAAAGACAGGUUCGUUGCAGUCAUAAACCUUCAUCAUUCCAUCCUUGAGUAGUAUCUCAAGAGCCAGAAAAUCUUUUACCUCCACAUUCAUUACUGCAAGAAUUCUCUUGACCUUGAUCUAACUCUUUCGGUGUGGAUAUGGCCUCUUUCAUCUGACAUAAUUAAUCAUAUCUUCAUCUCAUUGUAAUCUAGAAACUAAUAAAUCAAAUACCGGGCUAUCUAGAGUUGACGCUAGCUGAAUGAGCUCAUCAUACCUAUCCUUGAAAUUAUUGUAGAAAUUGAGGUCCAUUAUCCUAUCGCCAGCAUCAUAAGCUUCCGGGUACGUUAAUUUCCUACACCUCAUAAGGCAGAGAAUUUCAUUAACAUACUUUGGUAUAAGAAGAUAAUUUUAAAAUAAGUUAGUAAUUUUAAAAAAUAAAAACAAAGUGGAAAGAUGCAACGGAUGGCCCAUUUGUUCCACAGGGUUCUCUGAAUCUAUUAACAGAUUACCCAUCUAAUGCAACUUAUGCAACGGAUGGGCAAUCUGUUGCAAUAGAACCACUAUUAGUUGCACCAGAAUGCCUCGAUAUUACAAUAGAUAACACAUCUAUUGCGUAGCUUCUUCUUCGUGGAGUAUAUUAGAAGGAUAGAUUAGAAAAAGUAAACUUACCGUAUCCACGUACCACUGAUCCAUAUCUGUAAUCUUCUUGAAUUCCUAGGGGAAAGGGUAUUCAUCAUGAAAGUUUUUGCGUAUUUCUUGGAAUUUAUGGUCUUUCUUAGAACAACAUUCUGUUUGGUGUCAUGUUCUAUGUAUAUGUCCACCUUCUUUGAUGGUCCCUAAACUUCAACAACUUUUGGAGAGGAAGGAGCUGCAAUUUUUUUGGUUUCAUAAAUGAGAGCAUAUUUUUAAUUACUUUUUUUCCUAACUGGCACUGUAGGAUUGUACGACUUACUCACCUUCUUGGAUGGUAUGACACCCCUCUUGAAUUUCAAUUCCUCACAGCUUUAGCGAUAGCCUCUACUUUUUCAAAGAUUUUAUCCUGUCUGUCCAUGCACUCUUUGCAUUUACAAUAAGAACAUUAGAGUGAAGAGGGGUGAGAGGGAUCACUAUAAGGGUUAGAGGGAGUGGUGUAAGGGUGAGAGGGACCAGUGUAAGGGGUGAUUUCAAAUAUGUUUUUGUUUCUUGAGCAUCAACAUGCUCAUCAUCAAGACUGCCAUCAGCAUCAGCAUGGCUGCCACCAACAUCAACAACUUCCCCAUCAAUACCCCCAUAAGUAGCAGCCAGAUCUAUUGCAGUAGGUUAGUCAUGAAGAGCCUCAACAUUAGGUUGACCUUGCCUAACUACUCUUCUUAUGGUUGUUGCUCCAGCCAAUUCUUUCUAUAUUAACUCUACUGUUGGGUCUUCUAUUGUAUUAACAAGACAUAGAGAAAUAAAAGAAGUUAUCUCUAACUUUUGUUGAGUGGGUACUAUCCGUGGAUGCACAGCCUAAAAAGGGGUAAAUACGUUUAAAUCAAAUAUUAAAAUGCAGUCACUUGGUUUAUAUGUUAACACAGAUAACUUAUACAACAGAUGAUCUUUAUGGUGUAACAGAUGAUUCGUAUGUGGCAACAAAUUAACUAUCUAUUGCAUUAGAUUACCUAUUUGUUGCAUAAGUUGCAAUAGAUAGGUAAUAUGUAAGUAAGGAUCAGGUAACCAAAGUAAUAAAUGGGUAAUGUAUUGCAAAAAAGGACUCAUCUGUCGUAACAGAUUACAAAUCUGUUGCACCAGAUGAGCAAUCUAUUAAGAUAAAUUGUAACGAAUUAUAAAUCUAUUGCAACAUAUGAAUCUUUUGUUUCAAUAUCUUUUUUUGAGUAAAAUUAUUUUACUUGAAAGAAGACUUACUGCAUCAUCUAGACUGUUAAAGAGAUCAACCUCCUUAAUUCUUGUGUUGCUUUCUGCAGCUAACCACAUAAGGAUCCUUGGAUAAGAAACCUCAUCUGAAUAAUCCUGGUCCUACUUUUGGAGGGGAGAAAUGACUUCAAACACCCAAGCCUAAAAAAUAUAAAAAGAAAGCAAACCAAAAAAAUUCAUAAUAAUUAUUCAAUAGAAACUAAUGCAAGAGUAUACAAAUAGUGAUUAAAUAUACCAUGAAAGCCGAAGUAAAGAUGUACAAGGUGACCGUCUUUGGGGAUAGCUUUAUCAAUAAAUAUUUGACAGUCAACUUGUAGUUGUCAUAUCCCCAGAGAUGAUUGUUGGAUUUCUCAAGAUCCUCAGCAAACCCCAACAAAUCAUCUUCUAUGACUUUGUAGACAUCUCUUGCCAAUAUAACAGAAUGAGCAAACCAAACUAAGCACAAUUACUCUUUGUACUUCUUUGUUAUGACUUUAUCCUUGAGAUCUUCUAACAACAUUAUGGCUCUGUAGCCACGCCCAACAAUGUCUAACAACCCAUCUAUUUUUUCCUUACGUUUGUUGGUUUUGGUAGGUUGUCGCUUGGACAAUGCCUUCCCUUUAUUUGAUGGUGGUGCUUUGGCUGUCUUAUUUGUCUUGGAAUUUUUGUGGGAUGUUUCUUUGAUGAGUGGUUAUUGUGUAUGAUCGUAUCUCAAGCCUAUCACUAUGGGAAACUCUUUCAUGCCAAAACAAACCGGCAUACCACAGUAGUUGAUCUAGAUUUCAUCCAUCUUUUUGCCCCCCUUCCUCCUUAAGAUAUUUAUCAUCCCCUACGUACUUGAUCCUGUGCUUGAGAAGACCAUAUAUCAUGCUCAAUUGGAAACAAGCAUUGUUGUCCUCAGCCAGAUCAAGAAAGUCUCCCAAGCAAUUCUUCUUAAAAAAUCCAUCUAGUUUUUCCUUCUUCAUAGUAUUCCUAAAGUCAUUAAAAGGUUUCCCAACUGAGAUUUAAGUAAAAAAAUCACCAGUUAGUUCUGCAGGGUCAUCUAUCAGUAUCGUAACUUGAAACCUAUCAAUACUAAUAGUUUUGACCUGAUCAUGCUAGAAUUUCAAUCUUAAUUCACACCCCAUUGGUGAUGCACUAUCAUCAUGUUGAUCAUCAUCAUCUUUUUCACUUUCUACUUCCUCCUCUUCUUGUUUAUCUUAUUAUUCUUUCUCCUCACUUUUAUUUUCCUUACCAGCCUAUACAUAGUCUUCUCCACCUCCCUCAACAUCAUUUUCAUAACAUUCCUCAGCUUCACUUUUCCCAGAUUGGGAUUGAUCAGGAAAUUCCUCUAAAUCCAUUUGUACUCUAGCCUUUUUUGUUAGGUGGUCAGAAGUUGAUCCACUUUCAAUUUUUUUUUCUUUUGGGAGGCAUCUUUUAACUACAAACAACAGAAAAAGAAAAAUCACAUUAUAAUUGAUGUCUGCAUAAUUUUUAAAAAAAGGUAAGACAAAUUUCAAUAAAUUUUUAUACGCCACAUUACAAAAAAAUAUUCCAACAGAUAACCCAACAGUUGGAACAGAUGAAUCAUCUAAUACGGCAGAUGUAUAAUCUGCUCCAACAAAUGAACAAUCUGAUGGAUGAGAUCAAAACAGUCUUGCUACUAGUUUGUUUUAAUCCCAACAACUGAAACAUUUGUUGCAAUAGGUGGGAAUUUGUUUGAAGACCUAUUUUAAUAUCUCCCAAUAAAUGUUCCACCUAUUGCAGUAGAUGAACCACUAACACCAACACCAACACCAAAACCAAAACCACCACUAACACCAACACCAAAACCAAAACCACCACUAACACCAACACCAAAACCACCACUAAUACCACCACUACCAACACCACCAACACAACCAAUGCCACCGAUACCAACACCAACAAUGCCACCAAUACCAACACCACCACCAAGACCACUAAUACCAACACCAACACCACCAACACCCCCAAUUCCGCCUAUACAAACACCAAGACCACCAACACCACUACCAACACCACCAAUACCACCAUUAAUACCACCACCAAUACCAAUACCACCAAUACAAAUACCACCACCAAUGCCACUAAUAGAAAUACCAAGACCACCAACACCACCAAUACCACUACCAAGACCACUAACACCACCAUAAAUACCACCACCAAUACCAAUAUCACCACCACUACCAAUUGUCGUACCCUAUUUUUACCUAAGGUCAAAAUGAGUACGACAUUAUGGACUCAAAAAGAAUUGAUUUUAUACAGAGUCACCACCUAAUUUUUAAGGAAAAAUGGGAAACCUAUUUAUUUAUUUAAUAAGUAUGACUUUAUUCUAAUCUACGAAACCAAUUUAAAUUCUAAGUGAGGGUUCAAAUUAUUCCAAAAGGAAGGUAUUAGGUACCCUUCAAAAUCCACAAAUGUGGUUCCCGACCAGACUUAGGUUUAUUAAAAGAAAGAGAAAAAAUUGAUGUUUGUAAGUACAAAUACAAAAAUGCAUAUUAUAACAAUAUAAACAAUUUAUGUAUAAAGAAUGUAUAAAUUGCAUGUGUUAUUGUAAAAAUAUAUGUAUAAAACGAGUAUGAAAAUAAACGAAAGUACAUGAGAAUAUGUAUGAAAAAUGAAAAGAUUAAAUAAAGAAAAAUUAGUUCAAAGGAAAAGAUUACGUAAUGGUUUUAGCGUAAAAAAUAUGAAUUAUUUGAUUUAAUAUCUAAAUCAAUUUAAUUCUUUUAUAUAAAUAGUAACGACCUAAAUUUGCCUAACACGCGAUAAGAAUUGCGUAAACAAAGAAUAUCCCUCCCAACACCCAAAAAUAAAGCUUUCUCUAUAAUAGUAUUUGUACAAGUAUAAAAGAAUAUAAAAAUACAAAUGUAAAACUUAAGUUCUUCUUUGCAUGUUAUUCCCGAUGAAUAUUCCUAAUAACUUAUAUAAACACUUGUAAUAAUAAUGUUAGUAACAAAUAAAUAAUAACAAAAUAAAUUAUAAAAGUACGUGUGCAUAUAUGUAUUUAAAAAUUUAAUUUUGUUAAAAAGUGUGGCCUCAGAUUAGAUUUUAAAAUGGCAUGGCUACGAUAUGAUUGUUGAUUUAUUAGCCGUCCUAAAUCGUCUUGCCAAGAUAUUGGAAUCAUAAAACUCUUUGCAUUGUUAUAAAAAUUUCAUCAUCACCCAAAUUUAUUUAUUUUAUUACGUAUUUAUAUAUGUAAUAGCCGUCUUUUAUUUGGCCUCAAAAAUCAAUCGAAAAUUUCUUCAUCUGCUAAGUGUCGGUCCUUAAUAUAAAUAAUAAUUUUGAUAAAAUAAAAUCCGUCUUUUGUAAUGGGAUAGCCUCAAAUAUCAAGUCGGAGAGAUAAUUUCAUUGGUCAAUUUAACAAUGGUAAGUAGGAUCUAAAUUAAAAAGACAUUAAAAUAAAAUGCCACACCGAUUAAACUUUAAAUAAAACAAAAAAAUAUAUGAAAAUCAAUACAUUAUCUUAACAAAAUAACUCCAAAUUAAUAUAAUACUAAACAAUAAAGUAUUCAACUUAAACUAGUGAAAGUCACUAAAUAACUAGAAAUUGGCCAGAUGUGAUAAUGGAUAGCCGUGAAAUAAUUAGAAUGGAAGAGAAAAAUAAAAAUCAGUCACACAUAUCAUCAAAACAAAUAACAAAAAUAAGUCACAUAACAGGAUGAAAACAAAAUUCACUGAGAAAUGCUAGAAAAAACCCAUUUAAAAAAUAUUAACAUCAAAGCAAAUUAAGUAGACAGAGCAUGAGAAUUGUCACCACAACAGUUAUUUGCUAACCAAAUAUUAAAUCCAUCGAAGUUUCAAUGAAAAACAUUGGCGGUGUGCCGUUCACUGGAGUUGGCAUCGUUUUUGGUUGAUCCCGACAGUCACCUGAAUGGUGGUGGUGUUGGGAUUCACUUGUAGCUCGUCGGUAAUCACCUCCGUUGAGAUAAAAGGGGAAGAGGGAAGAGGAAAAGGGAAAGGUAGUGUAGGCAGUGGUGCUUGUUGGGGGAGAUGGUGGUUUGCCAGCAAAAAGUUUGCCGAACUCCGAUGGUUGCUAGCGGCAGUGAGAGGGAGAAAGAGGAGAAAGAGAAAGAUGAGGGAGAGAAGGUGGGAAAGGAGAGAAGAUGCAUUGGUUUGAGAGAGAAAAAGUCUGAUUUGGUUUUUCUUUAUUUUGUGUAUUUUUGUGUGGUGUAAAAAAAAUA
rnacentral:lncRNA from 1 species